rnacentral:rRNA from 1 species
UACGAAGGGGGCUAGCGUUGCUCGGAAUCACUGGGCGUAAAGCGCACGUAGGCGGAUUGCUAAGUCAGGGGUGAAAUCCUGGAGCUCAACUCCAGAACUGCCUUUGAUACUGGCGACCUUGAGUCCGGGAGAGGUGAGUAGAACUGCGAGUGUAGAGGUGAAAUUCGUAGAUAUUCGCAAGAACACCAGUGGCGAAGGCGGCUCACUGGCCCGGUACUGACGCUGAGGUGCGAAAGCGUGGGGAGCAAACAGG